rnacentral:rRNA from 1 species
CCUACGGGGGGCUGCAGUGAGGAAUAUUGGUCAAUGGAGGCAACUCUGAACCAGCCACGUCGCGUGAAGGAAGACGGCCCUACGGGUUGUAAACUUCUUUUGUAAGGGAAUAAAGUGAGUCACGUGUGACUUUUUGCAUGUACCUUACGAAUAAGGAUCGGCUAACUCCGUGCCAGCAGCCGCGGUAAUACGGAGGAUCCGAGCGUUAUCCGGAUUUAUUGGGUUUAAAGGGUGCGCAGGCGGGAGACUAAGUCGGUGGUGAAAUCUUGCAGCUCAACUGUAAGCGUGCCAUUGAUACUGGUUUUCUUGAGUGUGGAUGAGGUAGGCGGAAUUUGUGGUGUAGCGGUGAAAUGCAUAGAUAUCACGAGGAACUCCGAUUGCGUAGGCAGCUUACUAAACCAUAACUGACGCUCAUGCACGAAGGCGUGGGGAUCAAACAGGAUUAGAUACCCCAGUAGUC